rnacentral:rRNA from 1 species
UUUCCCAUUACGAGGAAAAGAAACCAACAGGGAUUGCCCUAGUAACGGCGAGUGAAGCGGCAACAGCUCAAAUUUGAAAGCUAGCCUUCGGGUUCGCAUUGUAAUUUGUAGAGGAUGAUUUGGGGAAGCCGCCUGUCUAAGUUCCUUGGAACAGGACGUCAUAGAGGGUGAGAAUCCCGUAUGUGACAGGAAAUGGCACCCUAUGUAAAUCUCCUUCGACGAGUCGAGUUGUUUGGGAAUGCAGCUCUAAAUGGGAGGUAAAUUUCUUCUAAAGCUAAAUAUUGGCGAGAGACCGAUAGCGCACAAGUAGAGUGAUCGAAAGAUGAAAAGCACUUUGGAAAGAGAGUUAAAAAGCACGUGAAAUUGUUGAAAGGGAAGCGCUUGCAAUCAGACUUGUUUAAACUGUUCGGCCGGUCUUCUGACCGGUUUACUCAGUUUGGACAGGCCAGCAUCAGUUUCGGCGGCCGGAUAAAGGCUCUGGGAAUGUGGCCUCCACUUCGGUGGAGGUGUUAUAGCCCAGGGUGUAAUACGGCCAGCCGGGACUGAGGUCCGCGCUUCGGCUAGGAUGCUGGCGUAAUGGUUGUAAGCGACCCGUCUUAAAAACCCGGGACC